GUUUCCGCAACGUCAGUUGCUCUCGUGCUUCUAGCGAAAGGGAAAAUGUCGGCGUGUUAGUGGGGUUUUGUUGUGCCACUAGAGAGUGACUUUUGGCUACGGUUUCCUGAACAGAUUUUACAGAAGAGAAUCCUCCAUCGAUACGGCUUCGAAAAGACUCAACAUCGUCGGGUUUGCCAGUACAUGGCGUAUGAGUCCUACCGGUUGGCGAUGUCAGUAGCAAAGAAUGAUUUUGUCGUGGGUGGCAAAUACAGGCUGAUGAGGAAGAUUGGCUCUGGAUCCUUUGGCGACAUUUACCUCGGUAUCAACAUCGCUAAUGGCGAGGAAGUUGCUGUUAAAAUGGAGCCUAUGCGUGCUCGGCAUCCACAACUAUUAUAUGAAUCCAAGUUAUAUAAAAUUCUACACGGUGGUAUAGGAAUACCUCACAUACGUUGGUAUGGACAAGAAAGAGACUAUAAUGUACUUGUUAUGGACCUUCUUGGUCCAUCUCUUGAAGAUCUUUUCACUUUCUGCUCGAGAAGGUUUACAAUUAAAACCGUCUUAAUGUUGGCAGACCAAAUGAUUGGCAGGAUCGAAUAUGUUCAUUGCAAACAUUUUAUUCAUAGAGAUAUCAAACCAGAUAAUUUUCUAAUGGGUAUCGGUCGUCAUUGUAAUAAGGUACUGUUUAUUAUUGAUUUUGGAUUAGCAAAAAAAUAUAGAGAUAGUCGUACAAGACUACACAUAAUGUACCGAGAAGAUAAAAAUUUAACAGGCACAGCAAGGUAUGCUUCGAUUAAUGCUCACCUUGGAAUAGAACAGAGUCGUCGCGAUGAUAUGGAGUCACUUGGUUACGUGCUUAUGUAUUUCAAUCGAGGAUCUUUGCCUUGGCAAGGGCUUAAAGCUGCUACCAAAAAGCAGAAAUAUGAAAAAAUAAGUGAGAAAAAGAUGUCCACACCCGUAGAAGUUUUAUGUAAGGGAUUUCCUGCUGAAUUCGCGAUGUAUUUAAAUUAUACGAGAGGUUUACGUUUCGAAGAGAGUCCAGAUUACAUGUAUCUUCGUCAACUUUUCCGUAUACUUUUUCGUACAUUAAAUCAUCAGUAUGAUUACACAUUUGAUUGGACAAUGUUAAAACAAAAAGUAGUAGUAGGGGGUAGUAAUGUUAAUGCUGGAGCAACUGCAGCCGGUCCAAGUCAAGCCACUCAAGGUGCUCAGGGACAAGGACAGACCCAAGGUCAACCGCCAGCUCAGGCCAACGCUCAAUCAGGAGCACGUUAAAACUACAACCAUUCGUCGUUGCAUCAAUCCUAUUUGCAGUUGCAAAAGUGUCCAAGAUCAGGUUUUGAUGCCCCGAAGACGUUUGUAAGAGAAUGCACAUAACGGUGUAAUGUGUGAUUUAAUCGAGAAAAAAAAAAACCGACAUAAUAUCUUUCAUAGAAAGAAAGAGAGAACAUUUUGACUAUUCUUAAAUAUUCGGGGUAGAUGAUUAAAUACAACAUACAAAAUUUUAUAUCUAUUCUACAAAUAGAAACAAACGUGUGAGAAUGAGCGAAUGAUUAUAUGAGAGCAUGAAGAAAAUAUAAGUGUACUGAGAUAUAAAUACAGUUUGUUGCUUCCCAAUUUUUGUUUUAUUCUCAGUAUACAAUAUAGUAUAAAUAUAACGUGUGUGCAACUUGAGAGAAAUGUUAUUUUUCUUGCAUAAACUCCUGUGUUAAUAUUAUCAAAGGUUCUUCUUUGAUAGUAUUGACUCUGAUAAUAACAUUUUUUUUUUCUUUUUUUUAUAUAAAUAUAUAUAUAUAUAUAUAUACAUAACGUACACAUAGAUACAUACAUGCGUACAUACGAAUAAGUGGCAGUAUCGACGAUGCAAAUACUGACAAGUAAUAUUAUCAUUAAGGCAGCAGUUUAAUUUUUAGGUACACCGUAUCAGUCGAGAAACGAGCAAAUUACUGAGAAUAUCCAUUUGUCCUGAUGAGCUUCGUUGCUAACUCUCUUUCUUUCUGUGAGUAUGUUUAGUCGAUUACAAUAAACAAGAUCAACAUUAAACAGACUUUUUAUAUUGAAGAUGGAUUACAGACUUAGUUCUCAUGUGAAUAAGAUAAUUAAGAGAAGAAGAAAAGAAUAAUACACGAAGCGCAUGAAAAAUAAUUCUGUAACCAAAUUCAGCCAAAGGAUUUCUUCCGUGUAGUUUUAAUGGCAGAGACUGUGCAGCGGUAUUCCUCGUGCUAUUGCUUUGAUAUUAAGUUUACAAUACGUGACUUAGAAAUUCUUAAUCGAUCGAUCAAUCGAUUGUUGAUUGUGUAUAAUGAGUCGUGUUAUAUACGCGAAGUCACGUUACAUGCAGCAAUUAGAAAGGAGUUUUCAAAGGCUCGUUUCUGUCAUUGAAAAUUUUCAUUUCACACUGACCAUACUAGUAGCGCCAAUAUUCACGUCCAUGUUCCAAGCACUACUUCCAAAAUAAUGUAUAAUUGAUCGUUAUUAAUUAUAUCAUAUUCUUAUUGUGGAAACAUUCUAAAGAAAAUAUCCGGUCAGCCUUAAUGUGAUCCAUAAUACAAGGAUAAUACGACUGGAUCUUAUAUAUGUACUAUUAUAUUUUCAAAGGACAAUUUGUUUGACGAAGAACAAAAAAAAAAGAGAUGCAACCGGUAAAUCUCCUUGAAUGAAUGGUAUGGUUAAUUAUUAUUAUUAUUUUUAUUAUUAUUGUUAUUAUUAUUACAAAUGAGGGAAACUAAAAACAAAAUUAACGAGUAAAAGUGUGUAUUA